CCUUCUCUUAGAAACAAAACAAAACAAAACAAAACAAAACAAAACAAAACAAAACAAAAACAAUGAAGAGUCACAUGUAAGUCAGUAGGUGGCAGAGAGAAGAGAAGCUAUGUCUAAGCUUAGUGUUCUGACCUGUGAACAUCUGAAUGAUUAGUAGCCUAACACU
rnacentral:snoRNA from 1 species